rnacentral:rRNA from 1 species
ACAGGCGGGAGUUAUGCGUCACGAGUCUCAGCAACAGAGGGACUUGCUCCCGGAGGUGGGCGGCGGCAGGGUGAGUAACACGUGGGCAACCUACCUGUAAGAUUGGGAUAACUUCGGGAAACCGGAGCUAAUACCGAAUAACAAUAAGAACCACAUGGUUCUUAUUUGAAAGAUGGCUUCGGCUAUCACUUACGGAUGGGCCCGCGGCGCAUUAGCUAGUUGGUGAGGUAACGGCUCACCAAGGCGACGAUGCGUAGCCGACCUGAGAGGGUGAUCGGCCACACUGGGACUGAGACACGGCCCAGACUCCUACGGGAGGCAGCAGUAGGGAAUCUUCCGCAAUGGACGAAAGUCUGACGGAGCAACGCCGCGUGAGUGAAGAAGGUUGUCGGAUCGUAAAACUCUGUUGUUAGGGAAGAACAAGUAUCGUUCGAAUAGGGCGGUACCUUGACGGUACCUAACCAGAAAGCCACGGCUAACUACGUGCCAGCAGCCGCGGUAAUACGUAGGUGGCAAGCGUUGUCCGGAAUUAUUGGGCGUAAAGCGCGCGCAGGCGGUUCCUUAAGUCUGAUGUGAAAGCCCACGGCUCAACCGUGGAGGGUCAUUGGAAACUGGGGAACUUGAGUGCAGAAGAGGAGAGUGGAAUUCCACGUGUAGCGGUGAAAUGCGUAAAGAUGUGGAGGAAACCCCCGGGCGAAAGGCGACUCUUCUUUGGUCUGUUACUUACCCCUAGGGGUGAAACGUUGGGGCAACAGGGAUUAUAUAUCCCCGGUCCCACCCCAACAAAUGCUAUGUUUAAGGGGUCGCCCUUUGUGCCAUCCAAAUCCCCCGGGACACACGACAAGAUGACAGCAGCCACACAAAGCUGUAUAACCAACAAACCACAUCUACACACACAUCAAAUUCUGUCUUCUCUU